AUUGAACGCUGGCGGCAGGCCUAACACAUGCAAGUCGAGCGGAGCGUCGGACGGGUGUGUAUUGUCUGGGAAACUGCCUCAUGGAGGGGGAUAACUCCUGGAAACGGUAUCUCAUAUCGCAUACCAUCUGAUGUGUCCCGAUGGGAUUAGCUCGUGGGUGGGGUAAAGGCCUACCAAGGCGACGCUCCGUAACUGGUCUGAGAGGAGGAUCAGUCACACUGGAACUGAGACACGGUCCAGACUCCUACGGGAGGCAGCAGUGGGGAAUAUUGGACAAUGGGCGAAAGCCUGAUGCAGCCAUGCCGCGUGUAUGAAGAAGGUCUUCGGGUUGUAAAGCACUUUAAGUUGGGAGGCGUUACCAACAGAAGAAGCACCGGCUAACUUCGUGCCAGCAGCCGCGGUAAUAC
rnacentral:rRNA from 1 species